rnacentral:lncRNA from 1 species
CUCCUUUUAUCUUUGAUGAAGGUAUUGGGAUUUCUUUAGGGGAAAUUGUAACAAUGUUGUUUGAAAUGGUAAGGAAAAUGGUGCUUUUUUCCAUUGUCAUGUUUAACCGAAGUUCUGUUCUAUUGUCAUAUUCAAAACUAUGGUUCCUUGUUUGCAGUAUCUUGAAGUGAGCAGAAUUUGUAUACUUGUUUUAUAAGAGAUCUCUUUGUCUAGAACUUGUGAUAUAUGGCUGAUGUCAAUUUCAUCUUUUUAGGUGCUUCUCAAUUAUAGGUGGAAAGCCUGGCAUGGAGGCACAUAGGCUGCUGAUUAUGUUUCUGGAUUGGCCCUUGAGAAGGAGACCAAAGCAAACUUCAGCAGGUAUCAGUUGUGCAUCCUCUAUUCCUUGUGUUUGUCUUCCUAGCUGACCUUGAGCAUCUCUCCAAAAAAAAACCCUGACCUUGAGCAUUGUACAUUUUGGUAAAUAUAGUUAGUUACUUAGUUUACUAGCAGUUGCGAUAGUCAGACCACUUACAUGCUUAGCUGCCAUUUAGUAAUCAGUAAGAACUAAUUUGUGAAAAUUAGGCCUGAAGUAAUUGUGCUUCCCUGUUUUGUGCGCAUAAAUACUUAUGGUUACGUAUUGUGACCAAAUGAAGUAAACUUAUACAAGAUGCUUCUUCAUUGUUUCGCUUGUGGAAACUAAACUGCUGCUGUGUUAAUACAUAUGGCCUUAUUUAAAGGCUUGUGGUUGGUCACCAUUGUUGUGCAGUAAUUUCUUGCCGAAGCACCGGUCCAAAUUUAUUAUUGGUUUUACUGGCGCUGCAUGUAAGCGGGAUCUACUAAUUGUUCUGUUUGCUUUGCUUCGUGAGUUCUUACCCAUAUACCUCUUUGAUGAUUUUGCCUCCCUAUGUUUGACCUGGUCUUUUUUCGAAGUUUGUCAUGGUUUUUAUGGUAGUGUGACAUGACUAACAGCUUAUAAUUAUCUGUCUAUUCCACCCAAUGUGUGUGCUAUGAUAUUCUAUAAGGCUAGGCACACCCUAAGUUGGUUAAUGCUUUUGAGCUAGCUUGUUAUGAGAUAAUGAAACAAUAGUUUUUAUUUGCUCACUAGCAAGAUGAUGAUGUCAAACAAAUGACUAUUUGGCAUUUGUCCCUUUGAGGGUUUCUACCAUUUAACUGUAUUGUUGUUUCCCAUAAUAGAAUAUUUGCUAAUAAUUAGACUACCUUGUGAUUGUUAUUCCUGUGGGUAAAGAAAUAUAUGAUUGUUCAUGUACGCAUAGCUUGAGUAAAAGCACAUGACUUGUCUUCUGGAUUGGUAGCUAACAUUGAGAUACUUAUGUUUGUCGAUGCCUUCCCUUUUUGCAGUAACAUCCAUGCUUCCAGCGUAUGUUCAACAUCAGAAUUUUCUUGGCUGUUUGUUGUAGUUUCUUUUCUGGUUUUGGAAAAUUCUGCAGCUAUAUUUAUUGUAGAACAACAUACUUGUCUUCUGGAUUGGUAGCUAAAAUUGAGAUAAUUACGCUUGUCGAUGCCUUCCUUUUUUUCAAUAACAUCCAUGCUUCCAGUGUAUGUAGAACAUCAGAUUUUUCUUGGUUGCUUGUCGUAGUUUGUUUUUAGGUUUGGAAAAUUCUGCAGCUAUAUUUAUUUAAAGAUGUUGCCUUAAGUGAGCAUGUGCAAUAUCCGCUUCUUUAUGUUGUGUGCCGACAAGUUCCUCUAUUUUAGAUGGUUCUGUCUUUUCACUUUUGAAAAAGCUGACUAUAAAUCCUCGUAGGUGCCAUAGUCCAUAGUGGAAGAUGUUCUCAGGCUAGCACCUGGUUUAGAAUUUUGCAAUUCACAUCAAAUUUCUUCCAACAAGACAUGCUGAUUAGAUUCAGGAAUAUGUUGCUACGUCUCAGCUUUUCAGCUUCAUGUUGUAGGAUUAAUAUUAGGCACCUGACAUGAGGUUGAGAAAUACCAUGCUUUAAUUACUCAUGACAUACCUUGUGCAGGGCACAUAAAAUAUAUCUGAUAUCUCUUUUUUGCUAUGUAUAUUUUUGUCCUCUCUACUCUAAUUUAGUAGCACCAUUUUUUGAUGUUAUUUCUCUAUAUGAUUGUUGCUUCCACUAUCUCAAAUAUAUCUGAAAUGAAUUUGAAUUAGGUUACUUUAGUAUCAAGGUAAAAUUUGUUUGUUGUCCAGAAGCGCCAAAAUCCUAGGUGAUAAUAAUUUUGUGCUUGACUGUUGUUGACGGCCAGUAAAUUUGUAGGAGUGUGUUCGAUAGAAUUGGCAAUGGGAUCGGGAGGUGGUGUCCAAGAAUUAUGUGGUUUGAUGGCACUAGGGGCAGGAGUGCUGAUUUAAUCAGACUAAGAAGAUGCCUAAAUAAGCUGUGAGGCUGCCUAUAUAUAAUUGUAUUUCUAAGUCAUUGUACUAUAUGUAAACCAAUUUAAGUCAUUCUACCAUCUGUAAUACAAUCCACAUUGCAUUAUCUUUCCAUCGAUAUCUCCUACUUACUCACUACUAACAUUGCUUCUAAUUGGCUUCUUGCGCCAUUGGCGCAACCGGG